rnacentral:rRNA from 1 species
GACGAACGCUGGCGGCGUGCUUAACACAUGCAAGUCGAACGGAAAGGCCCUGCUUUUGUGGGUUGCUCGAGUGGCGAACGGGUGAGUAACACGUGAGUAACCUGCCCUUGACUUUGGGAUAACUUCAGGAAACUGGGGCUAAUACCGGAUAGGAGCUCUUGCUGCAUGGUGGGGGUUGGAAAGUUUCGGCGGUUGGGGAUGGACUCGCGGCUUAUCAGCUUGUUGGUGGGGUAGUGGCUUACCAAGGCUUUGACGGGUAGCCGGCCUGGGAGGGUGACCGGCGACAUUGGGACUGAGAGACGGCCCAGACUGCAACGGGAGGCAGCAGUGGAGAAUAUUGCACAAUGGGCGGAAGCCUGAUGCAGCAACGCCGCGUGCGGAAAGACGGCCUUCGGGGUGUAAACCGCUUUCGCCUGUGACGAAGCGUGAGUGACGGUAAUGGGUAAAGAAGCACCGGCUAACUACGUG